rnacentral:rRNA from 1 species
CCUACGGGUGGCAGCAGUGAGGAAUAUUGGUCAAUGGCCGAGAGGCUGAACCAGCCAAGUCGCGUGAGGGAAGACUGCCCUACGGGUUGUAAACCUCUUUUGUCGGGGAGUAAAGUGUGCCACGUGUGACUCAUUGUGAGUACCCGAAGAAAAAGCAUCGGCUAACUCCGUGCCAGCAGCCGCGGUAAUACGGAGGAUGCGAGCGUUAUCCGGAUUUAUUGGGUUUAAAGGGUGCGCAGGUGGAUGUGUAAGUCAGUGGUCAAAUUGUGGGGCUCAACCCCGUACUGCAGUUGAAACUGGAAGCCUUGAGUGCGCGAGAGGUGGGCGGAAUGCGUGGUGUAGCGGUGAAAUGCAUAGAUAUCACGCAGAACUCCGAUUGCGAAGGCAGCAUACCGGCGCGCAACUGACACUGAGGCACGAAAGCGUGGGUAUCGAACAGGAUUAGAUACCCCAGUAGUC